CAGUGUUUACUUGCAUACUUGACCAUGAUUGGCUUCCAACAGUUGUGAUGUCGUGGCUGAGGUCACCGUGAUCGUACAGUUAUGUGAAAAAGGAAGGACGUCAACUUCAUCAAAACAAGAUGAGAACGUUAUCGUUGUCCCUUUUCUUCUGUCACGUUUCAUCACCAGGCUGCACUACAGCAUCUAUUGACAGGCGCGAUCCCACUACUGAGCGGCACGGGGGCUUUGACCUGCUCCGUCUCCGACCUGGGCCGGUGCCCCCCUCCUUAGACGACCUGGUGGUCCCGGGCUCCCCCAGGAGCACCAUAUCGAUCCCGAACUUAGUGCGGACACCCGAUCGACAUAGUCCGCUGCAGCUCAGAGGUCCUGAGCUCAAACGAUCCUCCAGCCUCAGCCUCCCGGGAGCUUGGAUUACAGGCGCGCGCCACCGCACCCGGCCAGGAAACUCUG